UCUUUUAUUUGUGUGCAAUGCUUGCCAUUGCCAGCAGUGCAAUGCAGAAGUGUACGAGUGUGUGUCAGGAUGCAAGGAUCCGUCAACCGAGUGUGGUUGCGAGCUGGAGAAAUCCUACACAUGCCAUCUAUGUACUAGUCCCGAGGCGAAGCAAAAGCCUUAAAUGUUAGGGACUGAUGGAAAGGAAACUAUCUUAUCGGCCACCUUGAAAGGCAGUGCUUCAGGAAGUCUGUUAAAAUAUGGCGCACGUAUAAAGAGUUUGUCAUUUAUUAAGAAUUGGACACAAAAUGAUGUGUCGCUGCUAUUUUUGAAGAGUGUUUGUAAACGUUGACGAAAAAAUCUUACCGCUUCACAAAUAUGGGUGAAGGGCUACUAGAUGCCAUGCAAGACAUGUUUUAUUCUACAAUAGAAGUGUGAACCGCUAAUAGUUACACACUUAUUUGGUGCUAGGUC